rnacentral:rRNA from 1 species
AUUGAACGCUGGCGGAAUGCUUUACACAUGCAAGUCGAACGGCAGCACGGGGGCAGCCCUGGUGGCGAGUGGCGAACGGGUGAGUAAUACAUCGGAACGUGCCCGGUCGUGGGGGAUAACGUAGCGAAAGUUACGCUAAUACCGCAUACGAUCUGAGGAUGAAAGCGGGGGACCUUCGGGCCUCGCGCGAUCGGAGCGGCCGAUGUCAGAUUAGGUAGUUGGUGGGGUAAAGGCCUACCAAGCCGACGAUCUGUAGCUGGUCUGAGAGGACGACCAGCCACACUGGGACUGAGCCACGGCCCAGACUCCUACGGGAGGCAGCAGUGGGGAAUUUUAGACAAUGGGCGCAAGCCUGAUCCAGCCAUUCCGCGUGCAGGACGAAGGCCUUCGGGUUGUAAACUGCUUUUGUACGGAACGAAAAGGCUCUGGCUAAUACCUGGGGCUCAUGACGGUACCGUAAGAAUAAGCACCGGCUAACUACGUG